UACGUAGGGUGCGAGCGUUGUCCGGAAUUAUUGGGCGUAAAGAGCUCGUAGGCGGCUUGUCGCGUCGACUGUGAAAACCCGCGGCUCAACCGCGGGCCUGCAGCCGAUACGGGCGGGCUAGAGUUCGGUAGGGGAGACUGGAAUUCCUGGUGUAGCGGUGAAAUGCGCAGAUAUCAGGAAGAACACCAAUGGCGAAAGCAGCUCUCUGGGACGGUACUGACGCUGAGACGCGAAAGCGUGGGGAGCGAACAGG
rnacentral:rRNA from 1 species